rnacentral:lncRNA from 1 species
AUGAAUGCUUUUGCAUUUGCUCGCAGCAAAGUCUCUCAGGGGAAUCUAAAAGUUUUUAACACAAAAGCGUUGAAUUUUUUAUUUCCGUCACCAUGUCUCUUUAGGACAGAGAUGCGCAAACCAGGACCCUUUGGUCAAAGUUGCCUAUUUUGGCCUGUCAUGUCACUAGAGGGGGGAAACUGGGGGGAAACAAGAAAUAAUAGCAUAUCGUCAUUUCUAUUUUAUCUUUUUUCUUUAGUAUUUCUUUCCAUUUUAGCAUUGUAGAGAAUGUAAGUGAAUUUGAUUUAAAAAUUAAAAAAAAUACAUUUUAAUAUAACAUAGGUGCAUAUAUAAAGCAGUAAUUACUUUUGAACCAUGGCCCUCAAUUAAAGUUAUGUUUCUGGCCCUUCAUAGUAAAGUUUAGGUAAUUAACUUGCUUUAACGGCUCCCUAAAAACCCACUUAUGCUUAAUUUAUGUUUAUUAGCCAAGAUUAUAUCUCGGUCGCUAUAAAAAUGAAAAAGAAAUAAGUUAUAUUUUCCAAAUAAGUGUGUGGGAAAUUAAGGAUUAUUUGCAACAGAUGGGUCAAUCAAUAGCACAUCAACUUUCACACCUCUGAGAGAUUUUGUUUAAAAGAAAAUAAAAAUAAAAAAUAUGUAAAAACCACAAAAUAUUAUACUGGUUAAACAAAGUAAAAACAAGAAAAAUAAAUGUUUAAAUACUUUUAAAAAAGUAACUAUUUCUCUACAACUGCAGAAAUAAAAACAGUACAAAGCCUUCAAAUGUAAGGUAACAUCAAACCUUAGUCAAUAAAUCGUGUCCAUUCCAUCCAUAUUAUGUAUGCAGGUAACAAAAAAAUAAAGUAAAGUGGGUUGAAUACAGUUCUUUGGGGCAGAAUGAGUAGCUCUCUGAAGCUUAGGUCCCUUGUGUCCUUACGCCUCUGGCAAAAAAGCUUUUGUCCUCUCUCUCCUCCGGGCCAGUCAGCCUCUAAAACUACCAGAAGCACAGCACGAGGCACUGAGGUUUACAUCUCUCUGCCAAGCACAAUCCAUUCACACUCCAGCUCUCACUGCUAGUGGAGACAGGUCCAAAAAUAGAGCCUUUUCCCCACAUUUUCCAUAUUUGCUUGAAUAUUUCAGUCACAAUUUAGAAACAUGUUUCUGUUGGUUUCAUUUUAGAGAUUACUGUUGCAUAAUGACAAAUAUGCUAAACCUUUUGGUUCAUGGAUUAAAUGAUUUAGUGCAGAAUAAACCACCUCAGUAGAAGAGUAUAAAAAGGCCAAAAUAUUCAAAUAAAUGACAUUAUGCACAUUAUUUUGAUUAAAUUAUAUGGCUUAAACAAAAAAAUGGAACAAUAAAAUAAACAGAGUGCUGAAGUAUUGUUCAAAAGUUUGUGAUCUGUAAGAUUUUGUUUUGAAAGAGUCAAUGUUCACCAAGGCUGGAUUUAUUUGAUACAAAAAUACAGUAAAACAGUAAUCUUGUGAAAUAUUAUUACAAUUAAAAUACUAUUUCUAUUUUCAAAUGUAAGGUAACAUCAAACCUUAGUCAAUAAAUCGUGUCCAUUCCAUCCAUAUUAUGUAUGCAGGUAACAAAAAAUAAAGUAAAGUGGGUUGAAUACAGUUCUUUGGGGCAGAAUGAGUAGCUCUCUGAAGCUUAGGUCCCUUGUGUCCUUACGCCUCUGGCAAAAAAGCUUUUGUCCUCUCUCUCCUCCGGGCCAGUCAGCCUCUAAAACUACCAGAAGCACAGCACGAGGCACUGAGGUUUACAUCUCUCUGCCAAGCACAAUCCAUUCACACUCCAGCUCUCACUGCUAGUGGAGACAGGUCCAAAAAUAGAGCCUUUUCCCCACAUUUUCCAUAUUUGCUUGAAUAUUUCAGUCACAAUUUUUUUUGCUUCUAAAAUGCUUGACAAUUACUAGGGUAAAAAAAAACACUUUUAAAGCAAAAUUGAUAUCCUUCACUCUUAAACUUUCCACUAUUUAAAAAGGAAUAUCAUAUUCUGUCGAAAACAGAACAGCAACCAAUUUCCCUCUAACAUGAAAGUACAACUAUAAAUAUGUUUAAUAUGCUGUACAGUUCACAAUGUGCAUUAAAUAGUGUUUAAAAACAUCAUCUGUGGAUCUGAUUGAGGGAGGACAUGUGGAGGAUAA